AUUGAACGCUGGCGGCAGGCUUAACACAUGCAAGUCGAGCGGGGUGAUGGUGCUUGCACUAUCACUUAGCGGCGGACGGGUGAGUAAUGCUUAGGAAUCUGCCUAUUAGUGGGGGACAACAUCUCGAAAGGGAUGCUAAUACCGCAUACGUCCUACGGGAGAAAGCAGGGGAUCACUUGUGACCUUGCGCUAAUAGAUGAGCCUAAGUCGGAUUAGCUAGUUGGUGGGGUAAAGGCCUACCAAGGCGACGAUCUGUAGCGGGUCUGAGAGGAUGAUCCGCCACACUGGGACUGAGACACGGCCCAGACUCCUACGGGAGGCAGCAGUGGGGAAUAUUGGACAGUGGGGGGAACCCCGAUCCAGCCAUGCCGCGUGUGUGAAGAAGGCCUUAUGGUUGUAAAGCACUUUAAGCGAGGAGGAGGCUCUUUUGGUUAAUACCCAAGAUGAGUGGACGUUACUCGCAGAAUAAGCACCGGCUAACUCUGUGCCAGCAGCCGCCGUAAAAC
rnacentral:rRNA from 1 species